UUGCAAGCCUCCAGCAUGCUUGGGUCUGGAGUGGCCCUGUGCAUUCCUCCAGUGCUUGCAAAAAACAGUUUUGAAACGGUUUGAGGCCUCGCUCUACACCAUCUACAGAGCAAGGUUAUAGAAAUUUCAGACAGUU
ensembl:snoRNA small nucleolar RNA SNORA9